rnacentral:rRNA from 1 species
GAAACCCAUAGAAUUUGGCGGUAUUUUAUUCUUUUUUAGAGGGCCUGUCCUGUAAUUGAUAACCCACGAUAGGAGUUACUUAUAUUUGUUUUCAUUUUGUAUACCUCCGUCAUCAGAGUAUCCUUUUAGGGUUAUAAUAUUCUUAAUAUAUAAGGUAUUAAAUGUCAGGUCAAGGUGCAAUUUAUAUAUAAGUAGAGAUGGGCUACAAUAAAUUUAUUUAGACGGAUUAUUAUUUUUAAUAAUAAUAUGAAGGUGGAUUUAAAAGUAAAAUUAUUUUAUUUAUUAACUUGACUAUAGCUCUAAAAUAUGCACACAUCGCCCGUCGCUCUUAUUUUAAAAUAAGAUAAGUCGUAACAUAGUAGGUGUACCGGAAGGUGUACCU